rnacentral:misc_RNA from 1 species
AACGCAAAUUGCGCCCACUGGCAAUCUGGUGGGCAUGCCUAUUCGAGCGUUGUUUCUCCCCUCAGCUCUGCUGGCGUUGGCGGCUGGACAGCCCCCGAAAUAAAUUGGCUAGUGCUCGCUGCGCGUGACAGCGCUUAUACACAGCGGGUGCGAUGCCACAGCGUGCUCAGGCACUCAAGUUGACCUCGAAUUAGGUAGGAAUACCCGCUGAACUUAA